GGAAUUGUUCGCAAUGGGCGCAAGCCUGACGACGCAACGCCGCGUGGAGGAUGAAGACUUUCGGGUCGUAAACUCCUUUCGACCGAGAUGAAUUCCUGCCGGCCUAAUAUCCCGGCAGGGCGACAGGAGCGCGGGAAGAAGCCCCGGCCAACUCCGUGCCCGCAGCCGCGGUAAUACGGGGGGGGCAAGCGUUGGUCGGAAUUACUGGGCGUAAAGGGUUCGUAGGUGGCCAACUAAGUCAGACGUGAAAUCCCUCAGCUCAACUGGGGAACUGCGUCUGAGACUGGAUGGCUCGAGUGCAGGAGAGGAACGCGGAAUUCCAGGUGUAGCGGUGAAAUGCGUAGAUAUCUGGAGGAACACCGGUGGCGAAGGCGGCGUUCUGGACUGCAACUGACACUGAGGAACGAAAGCCAGGGGAGCAAA
rnacentral:rRNA from 1 species